CAGCACGCUCUACAACAGCUGACCACAAUAAAACAUCAGCAUCAGAGUCAAGUAAAUAAGUUCCUCCUUCACAGGUGUUUUCUUUAAACUGGCCAAGCCACAACCCCCACAGGAGAACCUACAGAAUAAGGCCCAUGGACCCUACUUAAAGGCAGAGUCCCACAGCCCCGCCCUCUCUUGCUGGCUCUCUACCGCCUCCAGACUUCCUAUCCACCUCCACUGGGCGCCACUAACCUCUCUGGGUCUAUCAGUGAACUGUUUCUUGGAGUAGAAGAGUACCAGAAAAUAUCUAGCAAGGCAAUGUAAAAGACACUACUUGUACUUUAAAAAAGACAAUCAGAGAAUAGACAGGAUUUUGAAAAAGCAAGCUGACAUAAAUCCUAUAAUCACAAGGAAAUGAGUUUUACCAACAACCAGAGAAAGCUUGGAAGCAGAUUCUUUCUACGUAGAGCCUCCAGAUGAGAACCAGCUAAGUCAUGCCUGGACUUCUGACCCACAGAAACUGAGGAUAAUAAAUGUUUUAAGCCACCAAGUUUGCGAUAAUUUGUUACAAAGCAUAGAAAGCUAACACAGAUGACUUGAAUUCUAAAUUCCAUGUAAAAUUUUAUAACUUUUCUCUUUAUGUAUUCAGAUAAACAAUAUUCCUUACACACAUUUGAAAACAUAUCAAUAUAAGACAGCUAAAUAUUUUUUAAAGUUACAACGUAAUACAAAUAGAAGAUAUAUAAGAAAGCAAAAUCAAAUUAUGUUUUCCUUUCAGAAUUAUAAAACCCCCACCUAGCAAUGCUAGGCUCCUGACAUAAAUUACUGAAAAAUAGUCAGUAAUGAAUUUUAAAGCCAAAACAGAAAGUCUUAGUCCCUUUCUACCAAAAAGGUAUUUAACACAUCUUAAAACAAAAAUCGAGUAACCCGGGGAGGAUAAAAUAAAUUUGUGUCACACCAAAGGAAGAUGUAAAAAUUGUUUGGUUUGCAGAAAAAUCAUUCAAAAUCAUUUCAAUCCUUGGCUCAUAAAUAAUGCAAACUUAAUGAGAUAUUCUAUCCUAACAUGUAUAGAUGAAGUUCUUAAUUAUUUCAAAGGGGAUUGUGCCUACAUACCUGAAAUUUAAACUUUCCCUGUAGAAAACAAUAAAAACAUACACUUCUUUAUAGAUAUAUUUAGAAUGUGUUAUCCCCAACUAAUAUUUUCUAAACUACACACAUACUUAAACACUGAAUUUAAGAUAUAAACUGAGAUCCUUACCAAUUUUGAAUGGAGUUUAAUCACAUCAACCCACAUAAAAGUCUCACAUGAACACAUAUUUUUAUGUGACAUAUUUUUCUUCAAAUAAAUAUUGCUUCUCAGACUUUUUAGCAACUGUGGCAAAAACACUCAUUGUGAAUUUAUUUUUCUUACAGCUUGUAUAUGUUUUCUUUAUCUUGAAUUGUCUGCCCAAGUAGAUGAGAGAUUUGAAAAAUUCUGUCGACAGUGGUAACAGAGUCAGAGGUCAAAAGUUUCCAAGCAUGAACUAAACCUAAACAGCAAGAAAAAUAUCAAAAUGUAUGCAAAAAUACACAGAAAGGUUAUUGAUCUUCUAAAAUCAUACCAGAUUUUAGAAGAAAUACCAGAAAAUAGCCUUAAGGAAAUAAACCUUGUGUUUGUCUAAUAAAACCCAUCAAGAAGUAUGUAAUAAUUACAUCAACCCUCUUGAAAUUUUUUUAAAAAGGCCAAGUCUAUAGAAUGAAUAGUAUCAGGCCAAGAAAAAAAAUUCAGGCCCUGUUUCCAAGGACAAUAAUAGUGGAACAGACAGAUAGUGGCCAGUCUAGCCUGGGGAAUGCAAACCAACCAAGUAAAAAAUUUGACAACUCAGUUUUUUAUAAAAUUAAACCAAUGCUGUGUAUAAAAGUAUCCAGAAUGAAAUGAAGAACUGACUCAUAUUUUGAUAAUUAAUGCUCAAAAAUGUGAAAUUUUCUGUUCCAUUAUUUAGGUAUUUUAAGAAAAAUUUACUUUAAAUUUUUGCUUUAUGUGACUAUAAUAGCUAUAUUUCAUGUAUUAGCAUUUAUACAUACAAAGGCUGUAGAGUUUUACCAGACUUUAUUCGAGGGUCCAGAGUACUUAAAGAGAACAAUACAGGAAUAGAAAUAGCAUAAACUAUAUACUUCAAAUAAUUUCACAGGGCUGUGUAAGCAUUUUAAGGAAUUGAGGCUUUAUCCUAAGCCUAAGGGAAAGCCAUCCAUAUAACCAAAUUUCUGUUUGGAAAAAUGUGCUCUGGUUGUAGUACAGAGAAUUAGUUGUCAGAACAAAGGUGAGAUGGUGGUGAUAUAGAUGCCAAAGUAAGAAAAUAUGAAUGUGCUAUGCUAUUUCACUCUUCUGUCCUUCACCAACCUAUUUUCUCUGCUUCCUUUUCUCUUUGUUCAUAUUUUCAGUUCAAGUUUCACCCCUUCUAUGAAACAUUUCAUGAAGUAUCAGCCCAUUCUGUACAAUCAACCACUCCUGCCUCUGUGCCCAAACAGUAUAUGCUUUUAUCAUGGCCCAUGCCAUUGAAAUGCAUUUAGCUGUAUAUGUAUAUUCGUCCUUGUACAAAUCAAUAAAUAAAUUCUUAAUGAAAUUUAUUUUCUGUCUCCAGCAUCUAAACAAUGUUUUGCCUUGUGCUAAUCAAAAAAGUUCUGGUUGACAUUUGAAAUGGUUAUUUUGAUAAUCUCUUUCUGUACCUUCCCUAAAGAUUACUCUUAAGACAUUCUGAAAAUAUCCAUUUUGGCAAAGUUGUAUGAGUUAUUCAAGAUUACUGUAAUUUAAGUUGCUAACAAAAUGGAUCCUAUCUAUUUGUUCACCCUUUAUUUCCCUG
rnacentral:lncRNA from 1 species